rnacentral:rRNA from 1 species
UUUUGACGGAAAGACCCCGUGAACCUUUACUAUAGCUUGACACUGAACAUUGAAUUUUGAUGUGUAGGAUAGGUGGGAGCCUUUGAAGCAGUGACGCCAGUCAUUGUGGAGGCGACCUUGAAAUACCACCCUUUAACGUUUGAUGUUCUAACGAAGUGCCUGAAACGGGUACUCGGACAGUGUCUGGUGGGUAGUUUGACUGGGGCGGUCUCCUCCCAAAGCGUAACGGAGGAGCACGAAGGUUUGCUAAUGACGGUCGGACAUCGUCAGGUUAGUGCAAUGGUAUAAGCAAGCUUAACUGCGAGACAGACAAGUCGAGCAGGUGCGAAAGCAGGUCAUAGUGAUCCGGUGGUUCUGAAUGGAAGGGCCAUCGCUCAACGGAUAAAAGGUACUCCGGGGAUAACAGGCUGAUACCGCCCAAGAGUUCAUAUCGACGGCGGUGUUUGGCACCUCGAUGUCGGCUCAUCACAUCCUGGGGCUGAAGUAGGUCCCAAGGGUAUGGCUGUUCGCCAUUUAAAGUGGUACGCGAGCUGGGUUUAGAACGUCGUGAGACAGUUUA